rnacentral:rRNA from 1 species
CCCCUCGCCGAGAUCCAAGGGUUCCUGCUUAAAGCUAAUCUGAGCAGGGUAAGCCGGCCCCUAAGCCGAGGGCGAAAGCCGUAGGCGAUGGGAACCAGGUUAAUAUUCCUGGGCCAGGAGGAAGUGACGGAUCACAAAGAUUGUUGGAUCAGGCGUAGUUGCCCCAGCAGUUCAGUGGUUCCUGGAAAUAGCCCUCCAUCAGACCGUACCCUAAACCGACACAGGUGGAUAGGUAGAGUAUACCAAGGCGCUUGAGAGAACUAUGUUGAAGGAACUCGGCAAAAUACCUCCGUAAGUUCGCGAGAAGGAGGCCCGGUUUCUAGGCAACUGGAAGCUGGGGGCACAAACCAGGGGGUGGCGACUGUUUACUAAAAACACAGGGCUCUGCGAAGUCGCAAGACGACGUAUAGGGUCUGACGCCUGCCCGGUGCCUGAAGGUUAAAAGGAGGGGUGAGAGCUCCGAAUUGAAGCCCAGGUAAACGGCGGCCGUAACUAUAACGGUCCUAAGGUAGCGAAAUUCCUUGUCGGGUAAGUUCCGACCUGCACGAAUGGCGUAACGACUUCCCCGCUGUCUCCAACAUAGACUCAGUGAAAUUGAAUUGCCUGUCAAGAUGCAGGCUUCCCGCGGUUAGACGGAAAGACCCCGUGCACCUUUACUACAACUUUACACUGAUAACAGGCACAACAUGUGCAGAAUAGGUGGUAGGCUUUGAAGCAGAAACGCCAGUUUUUGUGGAGCCUCCUUUGAGAUACCACCCUUGUUUUGCUUGUUAUCUAACUGCGGUCCGUUAUCCGGAUCCAGGACCCUGUAUGGUGGGUAGUUUGACUGGGGCGGUCGCCUCCUAAAGCGUAACGGAGGCGCGCGAAGGUUGGCUCAGAGCGGUCGGAAAUCGCUCGUUGAGUGCAAUGGCAGAAGCCAGCCUGACUGCGAGACUGACAAGUCGAGCAGAGUCGAAAGACGGCCAUAGUGAUCCGGUGGUCCCGAGUGGAAGGGCCAUCGCUCAACGGAUAAAAGGUACGCCGGGGAUAACAGGCUGAUGGUGCCCAAGAGUCCAUAUCGACGGCACCGUUUGGCACCUCGAUGUCGGCUCAUCUCAUCCUGGGGCUGGAGCAGGUCCCAAGGGUACGGCUGUUCGCCGUUUAAAGAGGUACGUGAGCUGGGUUUAGAACGUCGUGAGACAGUUCGGUCCCUAUCUGCCGUGGGUGUAGGAUACUUGAGAGGAGUUGCCCCUAGUACGAGAGGACCGGGGUGAACGAUCCACUGGUGGACCAGUUGUCGACUACGGCAGUGCUGGGUAGCUAUGAUCGGACAGGAUAACCGCUGAAAGCAUCUAAGCGGGAAGCCCCCCUCAAAACAAGGUAUCCCUGAGGACCGAGGUAGACCACCUCGUCGAUAGGCCAGAGGUGUAAGCGUGGUAACACGUUCAGCUGACUGGUACUAAUGGUCCGAUAGGCUUGAUUUG